UUAGCUCUAUAACCCUUUGUGAACAUACCUAUAACUGUUGCUUCGGCGGGUAGGGUCUCCGCGACCCUCCCGGCCUCCCGCCUCCGGGCGGGUCGGCGCCCGCCGGAGGAUAACCAAACUCUGAUUUAACGACGUUUCUUCUGAGUGGUACAAGCAAAUAAUCAAAACUUUUAACAACGGAUCUCUUGGUUCUGGCAUCGAUGAAGAACGCAGCGAAAUGCGAUAAGUAAUGUGAAUUGCAGAAUUCAGUGAAUCAUCGAAUCUUUGAACGCACAUUGCGCCCGCCAGCAUUCUGGCGGGCAUGCCUGUUCGAGCGUCAUUUCAACCCUCAAGCUCUGCUUGGUGUUGGGGCCCUACAGCUGAUGUAGGCCCUCAAAGGUAGUGGCGGACCCUCCCGGAGCCUCCUUUGCGUAGUAACUUUACGUCUCGCACUGGGAUCCGGAGGGACUCUUGCCGUAAAACCCCCCAAUUUUCCAAAGGUUGACCUCGGAUCAGGUAGGAAUACCCGCUGAACUUAAGCAUAUCAAUAAGCGGAGGAAAAGAAACCAACAGGGAUUGCCUCAGUAACGGCGAGUGAAGCGGCAACAGCUCAAAUUUGAAAUCUGGCCCUAGGCCCGAGUUGUAAUUUGCAGAGGAUGCUUUUGGUGCGGUGCCUUCCAAGUUCCCUAGAACGGGACGCCAGAGAGGGUGAGAGCCCCGUACAGUUGGACACCAAGCCUUUGUAAAGCUCCUUCGACGAGUCGAGUAGUUUGGGAAUGCUGCUCAAAAUGGGAGGUAUAUUUCUUCUAAAGCUAAAUACCGGCCAGAGACCGAUAGCGCACAAGUAGAGUGAUCGAAAGAUGAAAAGCACUUUGAAAAGAGGGUUAAACAGCACGUGAAAUUGUUAAAAGGGAAGCGCUUGUGACCAGACUUGCGUCCGGUGAAUCACCCAGCUCUCGCGGCUGGGGCACUUCGCCGGCUCAGGCCAGCAUCAGCUCGCUGUCGGGGACAAAAGCUUCAGGAACGUAGCUCUCUUCGGGGAGUGUUAUAGCCUGUUGCACAAUACCCUUCGGCGGGCUGAGGUACGCG
rnacentral:rRNA from 1 species